rnacentral:rRNA from 1 species
GAAGCUGCCUUAUGGGCUUUGUUCAGCAGAACAUUGGGUAGGGGAGCGUUGUAUGCGCGGUGAAGCGAUAGCGUAAGCGGAUGUGGAGUUCAUACAAGUGAGAAUGCCGGAAUGAGUAGCGAGAAUUGUGUGAGAAUCACAAUGGCCGAAAGCCUAAGGUUUCUGGAGGAAGGUUCG